CCUACGGGAGGCAGCAGUAGGGAAUCUUCCUCAAUGGGCGCAAGCCUGAACGAGCAAUGCCGCGUGAAUGAGGAAGGUCUUCGGAUCGUAAAGCUCUGUUGAUGGGGAAAAACAGCUGCUAGAGGAAAUGCUUUCUCCUUGAUAUUACCUUUCGAGGAAGUCACGGCUAACUACGUGCCAGCAGCCGCGGUAAUACGUAGGUGGCGAGCGUUCUCCGGAUUGAUUGGGCGUAAAGGGUGCGUAGGCGGCCUGCUAAGUCUGGUGUGAAAGGUACCGGCUCAACCGGUAGAGGCUCUGGAAACUGGCGAACUAGAGAGCAGAAGAGGACGGUGGAACUCCAUGUGUAGCGGUAAAAUGCGUAGAUAUAUGGAAGAACACCAGUGGCGAAGGCGGCCGCCUGGCCUGUUACUGACGCUGAGGCACGAAAGCGUGGGGAGCAAAUAGGAUUAGAUACCCCGGUAGUC
rnacentral:rRNA from 1 species